rnacentral:tRNA from 2 species
GGGAUGUUAGUAAAACAAUUACAUAACCUUGUCAAGGCUAAGUUACAGGUGAAAUCCCUGUACAUCCCA